rnacentral:rRNA from 1 species
AAUCAACGCUGGCGGCGUGCCUAACACAUGCAAGUCGAACGCGAAAGGGGCUUCGGCCCCGAUUGAGUGGCGAACGGGUGAGUAACGCGUGGGUGACCUACCUCCGAGCGGGGGAUAACGUUCCGAAAGGGACGCUAAUACCGCAUCACAUCCUGCCUUUAGAGAGGCGGCGAUCAAAGCUGGGGACCGUAAGGCCCGGCGCUUGGAGAGGGGCCCGCGUCCGAUUAGCUAGUUGGUGAGGUGACGGCUCACCAAGGCGACGAUCGGUAGCCGGCCUAAGAGGGCGGACGGCCACACUGGGACUGAGACACGGCCCAGACUCCUACGGGAGGCAGCAGUGGGGAAUUGUUCGCAAUGGGCGAAAGCCUGACGACGCAACGCCGCGUGGAGGACGAAGAUCUUCGGGUCGUAAACUCUGUCGAGUGGGACGAACACCUUUUCGGCUGAAUAAUCCGAGAGGCUGACGGUACCGCUAAAGGAAGCCCCGGCUAACUCCGUGCCAGCCG